GGGGAAUAUUGGACAAUGGGCGCAAGCCUGAUCCAGCCAUGCCGCGUGAGUGAUGAAGGCCCUAGGGUUGUAAAGCUCUUUCACCGGUGAAGAUAAUGACGGUAACCGGAGAAGAAGCCCCGGCUAACUUCGUGCCAGCAGCCGCGGUAAUACGAAGGGGGCUAGCGUUGUUCGGAAUUACUGGGCGUAAAGCGCACGUAGGCGGAUCGAUCAGUUAGGGGUGAAAUCCCGGGGCUCAACCCCGGAACUGCCUCUAAUACUGUCGAUCUGGAGUUCGAGAGAGGUGAGUGGAAUUCCGAGUGUAGAGGUGAAAUUCGUAGAUAUUCGGAGGAACACCAGUGGCGAAGGCGGCUCACUGGCUCGAUACUGACGCUGAGGUGCGAGAGCGUGGGGAGCAAACA
rnacentral:rRNA from 1 species